rnacentral:rRNA from 1 species
UACGGAGGGAGCUAGCGUUAUUCGGAAUUACUGGGCGUAAAGCGCACGUAGGCGGCUUUGUAAGUUAGAGGUGAAAGCCUGGAGCUCAACUCCAGAAUUGCCUUUAAGACUGCAUCGCUUGAAUCCAGGAGAGGUGAGUGGAAUUCCGAGUGUAGAGGUGAAAUUCGUAGAUAUCGGGAGGAACACCAGUGGCGAAGGCGGCUCUCUGGACAGGUACUGACGCUGAGACGCGAAAGCGUGGGUAGCAAACAGG